rnacentral:rRNA from 1 species
ACGGCUCAGUAACACGUGGACAACCUAUUCUUAGGCCUGGGAUAACCCCGGGAAACUGGGAAUAAUACCGGAUAUCUCGCGAAUGCUGGAAUGCGUCGCGAUAGAAAGCUCCGGCGCCUAAGGAUGGGUCUGCGGCCUAUCAGGGUAGUAGUGGGUGUAACGUACCUACUAGCCUACGACGGGUACGGGUUGUGAGAGCAAGAGCCCGGAGAUGGAUUCUGAGACACGAAUCCAGGCCCUACGGGGUGCAGCAGGCGCGAAAACUUUACAAUGCUGGAAACAGCGAUAAGGGGACCUCGAGUGCCAGGAUACAAUCCUGGCUGUCGUAAUGCCUAAAAAGCAUUGCAUAGCAAGGGCCGGGCAAGACCGGUGCCAGCCGCCGCGGUAACACCGGCGGCUCGAGUGGUAACCGCUAUUAUUGGGUCUAAAGGGUCUGUAGCCGGCUGACUAAGUCUCUUGGGAAAUCUGGCAGCUUAACUGUCAGGCUUUCAGGAGAUACUGAUCGGCUCGAGACCGGGAGAGGUGAGAGGUACCUCAGGGGUAGGGGUGAAAUCUUGUAAUCCUUGAGGGACCACCAGUGGCGAAGGCGUCUCACCAGAACGGAUCUGACGGCAAGGGACGAAAGCUAGGGGCACGAACCGGAUUAGAUACCCGGGUAGUCCUAGCCGUAAACGAUACUCGCUAGGUGUCGGCCACGGUGCGACCGUGGUCGGUGCCGUAGGGAAGCCGUGAAGCGAGCCACCUGGGAAGUACGGCCGCAAGGCUGAAACUUAAAGGAAUUGGCGGGGGAGCAC